rnacentral:lncRNA from 1 species
GAGUGCUUGCGGCUCUCAACCCCGCCCUCCUCGAGGUCCGUUCUGUCCUGGAGCGGGUCGGCCUCGUCGCCCUGAGCACGUGGGUAGGUCGAGCGCCGCCUACGAUGGCCGGAGUCGCCGGCGAUCGUCGUCAGGGCGGCCGGUCUCGCCUCUGCCUCAGCGCGCGUCGGGGGAAGGAGAGGAGGAGAGGGAGGAGAGAGAAGGUCAACGCGGGUCCCACCCGUCAGCCGCACGAGGCGCCUGCUGACGUGGAUAAGUGGACACGCAGUUCUGGUGACUACGUCUUCAUGCGUUGAAAGCGUAUUAUCCGGGUGCUUUGGCUGAAAGUACUCUUUCGCGUUAGGAAAGCGUAUUUGCUGAAGUACGCCUUCUGUUUUUCUGCCUAAGUCCAGUCUGAAAAUAUUUCAUUACAGAUGGGUCCCUGGCAGAAAACACCUCAUAACUUUUUGUCCGUAACUCCAAAUGAGGUGAAUCCAAAGCCUACUUCUUUGUUUCGUCGAGCCCGUUCGGUUGGUUUCAUUUUCACUAUGGUUUGACACUGUGAAAAUGACCUUUUUGCCCUUGCACGUAAACAGCCCCUCCGAGAGAGAACUGUUUCCGGCAAAUCUUUCCGCGGCUUCACCGCACUUCUCCCCGGUGCCUUCUUCAUCCCCAGGCAAGCCACAAUACCCAUUUGCAUGAAAUUCAUGCAGUAGCCAUGGUUUUCAACUUGAAUAUUUAUUAAAUGAUUGCUUGUUUAAAACAUGGUUAUCGUUGUUUCGGUAAUGCUUCUGGUUUAGUGCUUACUUGUUUGCUAUGUUGUUAUGCACCUGGUUAUCAUGCCCUGCUAGUUGCUAGUAUUGCUUUCAUAUUGCCAUGCUUGAUAGUAGUACAUGUUGGGUUGGUCAUGUUCUUCGGUGCAUGAUUAACGUCGGUUAUCGAGUACCAUUAAUAUGCGUUGUUCCUUUGUUGUUAGUUGGUUAAGUCUUACUCGGUGAUGUUAUUGAUGAUUUCUUGCAUGUUAUUUAUGUUUGAUGACAAUGGUCAUGUUAUGCUAUGAGUAGUGUUGUACUUGUAAAAUUUAUGCUCGUCAUUAUGCCAUGUUCAGUUGGAGAUUAUUCAUAGUUGAUAUGGUGGAUAGUUAUGUUGCAUCCCGUACUUAUGUUGAUAUCAUGUUCAUGCAUUGUAAUUGCAUCAUGUUAUUUUAUCAUGGCUCAGCAUUUUGCAUUCAAGUUUAACCGGAUUUAAUUGAACUUGAACAACUGUUGGCUGAGUCAUGGUGCCGCCAGAUCGAAACUGACCAGUGCAACCACGCUUAUCUUAUGGGUAAGGUCCUAACUGGGUCUAUUGUCGUGCAUCUCGCUGGUGCCUCCCACGAGGGAAGGUUAUGGGCGUGCUUACCCUGAUCAGGUGCCCGUUGUUUUUAUUUUUAUGGAUCCGGUCCCCGUGAGGGAGUUUUGACCACGACGGUGGUCGGGGUGUCUUUGGUAGACACGGGGCCACCCAGGACUAGCCCAGUUGGGAGUGGGUCGGAGUGGCCGGCAGAGUGUCAUGACAAUAGAUCGGUUUUGUCGGAACGCCGUUGGUCCACCCGAAUGGGAGUGCGAGGCCAUGGGUUCCGUGGUGUGGGUACAGGGUACUAACCUCUGCAGAGUGUAUAUUAAAUCUAUCGAUAGCUGCGCCCGCGGAUAAGGGCCCAGUUCGUGUUGGUCCCACCGUGAGUCAACAGUAUUAAUAAUAACUGGAUUAAUAACAACCCCGGUUUGAUGAUGAGAUAAGUUGGUUGUGAUCGCCGGAAAGAUCACUGUUUGAGACCAAGUGUUGGUCAUGGUUGUGAUCGCCGGAAUGAUCACCGUGGUAUCGAGGAUACCGAGUUGUUGGAUAUUCGUGAUCUUGUGCGAGAAUCAUGGGUAAAGAUCAGGCUCCUUGUGGUCAUUUAAUGAUUACUACGGUAUUGUUUAUACCAAGCUUGAUUUGAUCCUGAGAUAAUCGUGUGAUGUCCGAGGUUGGUAAGUGAUGCGUGUGAUGGUUGCGAAAUAACCCGAGCAGAAUUAAUGGUGCAUGUAGUGUCAUCAUGUUGCAUGCUAGUAUCAUCGGAUUUAUAUGUAUAUGCUAUGCUCAUGUUGUUUUACCUGUAUCAUGUUCAUGUUGCCUUUGGAUUCUUAGUGGCUAUUAUGAUUAUUUUCGUGAUGGUAGCUGAUAUUAUUUUGGAGUAUUACUUUGGAUGUCAUGUUGCUCAUGCCAUGUUGUUAUAAGGAUCUCAUGUUAAUUCCUGCUUAACUUGUAAUUGCCAUGCUGUUGUUUGUCUUGAAUGCUUCUGGUUAAUUGUGAGCUUGCAAGUACAUUCAAUGUACUGACCUGGCGUGUCAUGCCAGCUUGCAGGUGGUGCCUGGAUUGCUUGCUUGUUUGGUGUUGUUCCUGUGUUCGCGAGCUAGGAUAAGCGUUCCAGCCAGAGUCCCUGCAGAGUGGAGUUCACCACCGUCGUCGUUGUUCCGCUGCUAGAGUUAUUCCGCUGCUUCGAGUUGUUCUGCUGCUUGCAUAGAGCAACUGAGGAUGGCGUAGUGUCACCGUGCCAAUGUUAUUCAUUGUAAUAUCGGAGACCUUGUAUUCAUAUUCGUGAUAUAAUAGAAAGCUGGUUUGUUCUAUGCUAA